GCCCUUCACCUGAGGUUUCUUUCCCACCCCGGCAUGCAGUCGGCACAGCGCUGCCUGCUGCUGACCAGGAAGAGCUGCGGGCCGGAGAGGCAGGUGUGUGGAGCAGGAGCAGCAGCUUUACACGCCACAGCGUUCGGUGCCUGGCUGCCCGAGUGUAUGCUCUCAUGCCUCCUUCUGUAGGUUGGCUGUAACUGCGGAGCACGACAUUAGGCGGUACGGAAUAUCCCCUUGGUUCAGUUUGGGCCAGGUGGCCCAGCUGGGAUCCCCGCCGCCCUCCCACAACUUCUUGUGCCACUCCAGCCUCCUGGCUCGAAGGAGAGCAUAAGAAGCAGAAGCGUCCUUGGUUUCUGUGGAAGCAGCGCUCUGCUACAGCACUUAGGUGGCUGUGUGAUCCGCGCUGUUCACGGCCCGAUUCCCAAACCUGCAGGACAGGUACCUGCCAGAAGAAAAAGAUCUCUGCCCUAGCCAGACCCACGACAUUUCCCUAGCGCACUGCAGUAGCACAAAGUGAGGGUAGUCCUGUCGCUGGAGUGAGUAUCUGCGCUGCACCCGGUGGUACCGCAGCGUAACAUCGUGGCUUACGGGCCCUGAGUCUGCCGAGGUGCUUCCAAAGGAAGGGGCUCUACUGCUCCCCAAAGGCUGCGCCGCAGCAGUCUGUGGAUAAGAGGAUGCUCUGCCCAUUCGCAGCAUUUCCACUGACGCAGAGCGUAGCUACUCAGAAUGCUGUGUGGGCAAACGCAGCCGAGUUUUAACAGUAUCAUCUGGGCUGCACAGUUGCAUCUAAACCCCUGCGUUUCUACACCAGAGCCCUCCCGUAGCUGGAGGAAGCAAGCAGCCGUUCAGGACAGACCUGAGAAGACAAUGGCAUUUAACAAAUGUGACUCAGCCAAUCUGAGAGGAUACAAAGACACGUGGGUUACCAAGUGUCCCAAAAUGGCGUCUCCUCUCCGUGGAAGGCAGGCGGAUACAAGAUGGCGCCUCCCUAUGCAGGGAGGUGGGAGGGAUUUCCUGUGCAGGGCCCUGCCACCUCCGGUGGGGCUGAUUGACAUUGGGCCCUGCCCUUCACCUGAGGUUUCUUUCCCACCCCGGCAUGCAGUCGGCACAGCGCUGCCUGCUGCUGACCAGGAAGAGCUGCGGGCCGGAGAGGCAGGUGUGUGGAGCAGGAGCAGCAGCUUUACACGCCACAGCGUUCGGUGCCUGGCUGCCCGAGUGGUAAGAGAUGUUCUGUUGCACAUUGGGCGUAGUGAGGAGGGCUUGAAAGUGUAGAUUCACGGAAAGGGAGGGGGGCUCUCUGAGUGUUCUGGGGAGCCGUUCUGCCCCCUUUCUGGAGGGCAAGCGGGACAGAUGCUGUUGUUAGCAGGGAAGAUGAGAGAGCCAUAGAGCUGCAGCUUGAGGCUGUGUUUGUGCGCUCCCGGAGAAUGCUAUUGCCCAGGAGCCGCCUUUUCUCAGUGCAGCUACUCAAGGACAAGGCCCCGCGUCCUUUGGAAGGGGUGUGUGACAGGGUAAUCCUGUUCCCCUCUGGCUUCAAGCCACGCAUGCUAUUGGAAAUGCAGGGUUGAAUCCUGCUGUAGCCCCUGCAGCCUGAAAGGUACCAAAGAACUGGGCUCGAGGGCCCAAAGGCUGGGAUUGGCAAGUGGCCUUUCCGUUUCAUACUGAUGCUUUCAGGAGCAUAGCCAUAUCUUUAACUUUGGCCUGCCGAGAACUGUCUGUGGGUUACUUGUGCCUGCUGGGGUGUAGCCCUCGAGGCCCGGCUAAACAGCACACAGUGGUUCGCUCUCCCUCCCCAGGCAAGGCUGGGGACAGUACCUGGCAAGGUAGAAGUGGGAGGACGCACAGGAGAGGCUGAAGGCCGUUUCCAGGGGCAAGGCCCAGGCCGCAAGAAGGAGCAAGGCAAAAUGCGGGAUUCAUUUCCAGGUUCCCGUUGGCAGGGCAGAUGGAUAUUCAGGUGCUCCCAGAAAAGCCGGGACCGUCUAGUGUCACAGUUUGCUGGGAAGACAAUCAGCAUUGCUCCCAGUAUGCUCUCAUGCCUCCUUCUGUAGGUUGGCUGUAACUGCGGAGCACUACAUUAGGCGGUACGGAAUAUCCCCUUGGUUCAGUUUGGGCCAGGUGGCCCAGCUGGGAUCCCCGCCGCCCUCCCGCAACUUCUUGUGCCACUCCAGCCUCCUGGCUCGAAGGAGAGCAUAAGAAGCAGAAGCGUCCUUGGUUUCUGUGGAAGCAGCGCUCUGCUACAGCACUUAGGUGGCUGUGUGAUCCGCGCUGUUCACGGCCCGAUUUCCAAACCUGCAGGACAGGUGCCUGCCACAAGAAAAAGAUCUCUGCCCUAGCCAGACCCACGACAAUUCCCUAGCGCACUGCAGUAGCACAAAGUGAGGGUAGUCCUGUCGCUGGAGUGAGUAUCUGCGCUGCACCCGGUGGUACCGCAGCGUAACAUCGUGGCUUACGGGCCCUGAGUCUGCCGAGGUGCUUCCAAAGGAAGGGGCUCUGCUGCUUUCCCAAAGGCUGCGCAGCAGCAGUCUGUGGAUAAGAGGAUGCUCUGCCCAUGCGCAGCAUUUCCACCGACGCAGAGCGUAGCUACUCAGAAUGCUGUGUGGGCAAACGCAGCCGAGUUUUAACAGUAUCAUCUGGGCUGCACAGUUGCAUCUAAACCCCUGCGUUUCUACACCAGAGCCCUCCCGUAGCUGGAGGAAGCAAGCAGCCGUUCAGGACAGACCUGAGAAGACAAUGGCAUUUAACAAAUGUGACUCAGCCAAUCUGAGAGGAUACAAAGACACGUGGGUUACCAAGUGUCCCAAAAUGGCGUCUCCUCUCCGUGGAAGGCAGGCGGAUACAAGAUGGCGCCUCCCUAUGCAGGGAGGUGGGAGGGAUUUCCUGUGCAGGGCCCUGCCACCUCCGGUGGGGCUGAUUGACAUUGGGCCCUGCCCUUCACCUGAGGUUUCUUUCCCACCCCGGCAUGCAGUCGGCACAGCGCUGCCUGCUGCUGACCAGGAAGAGCUGCGGGCCGGAGAGGCAGGUGUGUGGAGCAGGAGCAGCAGCUUUACACGCCACAGCGUUCGGUGCCUGGCUGCCCUGAGUGGUCACGUGCCGGGCAAGAAAACACAGCCGCUGCAAAAACAAAUGCAGCUGGUAGAACAGUCUUGUGCCCACCUGGUCCACGGGUCACUUAGUGAUGGCCUUAAGCAAUCCUUCCGCUUGCCAUAAGCGCACGCCGGGAGUCACCUGAGCUUUCGGCACAAAGGCUGGGGCAGAUGUAACCACCACUUUCUGCUGCUGAGGAGCUCCUCCAACCAAUGCUGUCUUUCCUGGGUGUGCCUGCUGAAUUUCUGCAUUCACGCAGUUCAGCAAAAGCUUGUCUGGAAAGAACAGACUGCCCCGUUGACGCCCACGCUUUUAGGAGUACGUACACGUAUCUAAUGUUGUUAUUAUCUUGAUACACGUGUGUCUGUUUGCUAGCGUUGUCGUGGUUUAGCCCCGCAGACUGAUAAACAGCCCUGUCUCACCGGCCCCAGGUCGGGAGCGGGGACAAAGGCGGGAAGGCAACGGUGCGAGAACUCAGGGGGCUGAGAGCAAGACACCGUACUAGGGAAAGCAAAAACCAGGCCCGCACAACCAGGAAAACGGGGGGACACAUUCCCUGCAUGCCAUCGGCAGGCCGAUAUUCAGCCACAUCCAGGAACAGCGCGCUCACUGCACGUAACCAUCUCUUGGGAAGGCAAGAGCAUCCAUCCCACCAUGACCCAUUCCUCCUGCUUGACACACGCUUUCAUUGCCGAGCGUGACAUCCCGGCCCGUUUGGGCCGGCUGUGUGGCUCCGUCUCCUGGCUCUGGCUGCUCCCAGCUUCUGCUCUGUCCCCUGCCUCCUCGCUGGAUGAACAGCACAAGAAGCAGAAAAGUCCUUGGCUCUGUGCAAGCACUGCUCUGCAGCAGCCAAAAGCACGCGUGUGUUAGCACCUCUGUUUUCACGAAAAGAAUCCAAUAACCAGCACCCGUGAGACUCUGCCAGGCCACGGCACUCAAUCCCAGGCCAAAUCACAACAACUAAAGUACUGCAGUCAGAGAGCAGUGCAGUCUCGGGAGCACCUACUUGUAAGGAAAUGAAAUAGAUUUACUAGCAUGUACCAAGUGCGCUCUCUAGAUGUCGAUGAGAGUGCAUUUUGCUGUACGGCUCCCAGCUUGGCCGGCAGCCCCUUGCCAUCACAGCCCCCCUCUAACUCUCUGUCCUCAGCAGGAUCGGGUGCACAGUAAGUUGGGCAAUCUCCAGCGUUAACACUAACACAGGGAGCUCACUAUACCAAUCACCCUCACAGGCAAAACAAUCUCAACGCGCACUGAGUGGAUUUACAUUACUGCCAAUUGCAAACAGCGGCGGACAGCAAGGAACAAAACCACUUUCCACCUCUCCUCCUCUCGCUACUUCCCAGGCUCCCUUUCUCUCCUUAAUACUCAGUUCCCAGACCUCACCUCCCCACGUGCCUGCCUCGGGACCCACAGCCAUCACAGGCGGUCCGUCACAGCUCCUCCCUGAUGCUCCUUCCUCCUAACACUUCUCCCCAGCACCCACGCGGGCAAACGGAGGGCUGCUGCUUCCCUCGGGACACAUCAGCCUGCUCUGGCAUGCUCUCCUCCUUGGGCUGCAGGGGAAGCUCUGCUCCAGCUCCUGGAGCACCUCUUCCCGCUCCUCCCGCUCCUCCUGCUCUGCCUCCUCCUCCUCCCGGUCCUCAUCCUUCUCCCACCUCAGCCUGCCCCUCCUCUUGCCCCUCCUCUCCCUCCUCCUCCUGCUCCUCCUCCCGACCCACCUCCUGCUCCUCCUCUGCUCAACUGGACAUUAGCAGGGCCGUUUCUCACGCUUCUCCUUCCUCUCUCCCCACUGCUGGACAGCAGCCGCUGUCCUCUUUCUUCUCCUCCCCUCUGGGUUCAUGCCCCAAGGCGCCGCAACCUCGCGCGCUGGGCUCAGCUUUGCCCUGUGGCAGUGCCACCGGAGCCAGAUCAGAUUGCUGGCAUCUGCCUUGGGGCAGCCCUGCCUUCUCCUCAGAGGCCACCGUCAACCUCCACUGACGGCACCUACACCCCCUACACGUCUAUAGGAACACACGUCUUGUAACACCUGAGCACGUCCUGCUCCAAAGGGACUAGCCAGCCGGUCCGAGGGAGAUGGCAGAAAAUGACAGCUGCUAAAACAAAGACCGCUCAGCCAAUCACUGAGCGCUACGCAAACCCGUGGCUUACAAAGUGCCACAAAAUGGAGGCUCCCCCCUAUGGAAUGUGGACUGAAACAAAAUGGCGCCCCUGCAGUUUCACAAAAUGGCGGCAGCUCCCUGUGAAAGGCAGACUGAAAGAAAAUGGCGCCUCCCUAUGUAGGUAAAGGGGAGGGAUUUCCUGUCCGAGCCACCCCUCCCUUUGGGCAGGCCCAGUAGCGCUGGGACCUCCCCUUCACUCCCAAAACAUUCCUUGCCCUGGCAUGCACUCUGCGCAGUGUGCCUCCAGCUGGUAGCUGGGAAGAGCUGCAGGAUGGAGGCGCCGCUCAGCAGAGCACCACCACCCGCAGAAGCAGCAGCAGCAGCAGCAGCUGCACGCUCCACACUGCUCGGCGUCUCGCCGGCCGAGCGGUAGGGGGAGCUCAUCUGCCCGCUGUGUGUAGUCAGGUGAGCCUGAAGCGGUAAAGUCGGCGAGCGGGACCCCAGAUAGCGGUGAGCGUGGGGAGGUGUUUGUUGGCCCCUUUCUAGGCGGCCAGGUGGGCCCUUCCUGUUCUUCACCGGGAAGGUGAGAGAACAAGUGACCUGCACACCCUGACCGUGUUUGUGCGAUUUGAACUGCUGUGGUGCUUGUGUCCAGGUGCUUUCUUUUCUCGGCGUUACAGGUCACGUGCCGGGCAAGAAAACACAGCCGCUGCAAAAACAAAUGCAGCUGGUAGAACAGUCUUGUGCCCACCUGGUCCACGGGUCACUUAGUGAUGGCCUUAAGCAAUCCUUCCGCUUGCCAUAAGCGCACGCCGGGAGUCACCUGAGCUUUCGGCACAAAGGCUGGGGCAGAUGUAACCACCACUUUCUGCUGCUGAGGAGCUCCUCCAACCAAUGCUGUCUUUCCUGGGUGUGCCUGCUGAAUUUCUGCAUUCACGCAGUUCAGCAAAAGCUUGUCUGGAAAGAACAGACUGCCCCGUUGACGCCCACGCUUUUAGGAGUACGUACACGUAUCUAAUGUUGUUAUUAUCUUGAUACACGUGUGUCUGUUUGCUAGCGUUGUCGUGGUUUAGCCCCGCAGACUGAUAAACAGCCCUGUCUCACCGGCCCCAGGUCGGGAGCGGGGACAAAGGCGGGAAGGCAACGGUGCGAGAACUCAGGGGGCUGAGAGCAAGACACCGUACUAGGGAAAGCAAAAACCAGGCCCGCACAACCAGGAAAACGGGGGACACAUUCCCUGCAUGCCAUCGGCAGGCCGAUAUUCAGCCACAUCCAGGAACAGCGCGCUCACUGCACGUAACCAUCUCUUGGGAAGGCAAGAGCAUCCAUCCCACCAUGACCCAUUCCUCCUGCUUGACACACGCUUUCAUUGCCGAGCGUGACAUCCCGGCCCGUUUGGGCCGGCUGUGUGGCUCCGUCUCCUGGCUGUGGCUGCUCCCAGCUUCUGCUCUGUCCCCUGCCUCCUCGCUGGAUGAACAGCACAAGAAGCAGAAAAGUCCUUGGCUCUGUGCAAGCACUGCUCUGCAGCAGCCAAAAGCACGCGUGUGUUAGCACCUCUGUUUUCACGAAAAGAAUCCAAUAACCAGCACCCGUGAGACUCUGCCAGGCCACGGCACUCAAUCCCAGGCCAAAUCACAACAACUAAAGUACUGCAGUCAGAGAGCAGUGCAGUCUCGGGAGCACCUACUUGUAAGGAAAUGAAAUAGAUUUACUAGCAUGUACCAAGUGCGCUCUCUAGAUGUCGAUGAGAGUGCAUUUUGCUGUACGGCUCCCAGCUUGGCCGGCAGCCCCUUGCCAUCACAGCCCCCCUCUAACUCUCUGUCCUCAGCAGGAUCGGGUGCACAGUAAGUUGGGCAAUCUCCAGCGUUAACACUAACACAGGGAGCUCACUAUACCAAUCACCCUCACAGGCAAAACAAUCUCAACGCGCACUGAGUGGAUUUACAUUACUGCCAAUUGCAAACAGCGGCGGACAGCAAGGAACAAAACCACUUUCCACCUCUCCUCCUCUCGCUACUUCCCACGCUCCCUUUCUCUCCUUAAUACUCAGUUCCCAGACCUCACCUCCCCACGUGCCUGCCUCGGGACCCACAGCCAUCACAGGCGGUCCGACACAGCUCCUCCCUGAUGCUCCUUCCUCCUAACACUUCUCCCCAGCACCCACGCGGGCAAACGGAGGGCUGCUGCUUCCCUCGGGACACAUCAGCCUGCUCUGGCAUGCUCUCCUCCUUGGGCUGCAGGGGAAGCUCUGCUCCAGCUCCUGGAGCACCUCUUCCCGCUCCUCCCGCUCCUCCUGCUCUGCCUCCUCCUCCUCCCGGUCCUCAUCCUUCUCCCACCUCAGCCUGCCCCUCCUCUUGCCCCUCCUCUCCCUCCUCCUCCUGCUCCUCCUCCCGACCCACCUCCUGCUCCUCCUCUGCUCAACUGGACAUUAGCAGGGCCGUUUCUCACGCUUCUCCUUCCUCUCUCCCCACUGCUGGACAGCAGCCGCUGUCCUCUUUCUUCUCCUCCCCUCUGGGUUCAUGCCCCAAGGCGCCGCAACCCUCGCGCGCUGGGCUCAGCUUUGCCCUGUGGCAGUGCCACCGGAGCCAGAUCAGAUUGCUGGCAUCUGCCUUGGGGCAGCCCUGCCUUCUCCUCAGAGGCCACCGUCAACCUCCACUGACGGCACCUACACCCCCUACACGUCUAUAGGAACACACGUCUUGUAACACCUGAGCACGUCCUGCUCCAAAGGGACUAGCCAGCCGGUCCGAGGGAGAUGGCAGAAAAUGACAGCUGCUAAAACAAAGGCCGCUCAGCCAAUCACUGAGCGCUACGCAAACCCGUGGCUUACAAAGUGCCACAAAAUGGAGGCUCCCCCCUAUGGAAUGUGGACUGAAACAAAAUGGCGCCCCUGCAGUUUCACAAAAUGGCGGCAGCUCCCUGUGAAAGGCAGACUGAAAGAAAAUGGCGCCUCCCUAUGUAGGUAAAGGGGAGGGAUUUCCUGUCCGGGCCACCCCUCCCUUUGGGCAGGCCCAGUAGCGCUGGGACCUCCCCUUCACUCCCAAAACAUUCCUUGCCCUGGCAUGCACUCUGCGCAGUGUGCCUCCAGCUGGUAGCUGGGAAGAGCUGCAGGAUGGAGGCGCCGCUCAGCAGAGCACCACCACCCGCAGAAGCAGCAGCAGCAGCAGCAGCUGCACGCUCCACACUGCUCGGCGUCUCGCCGGCCGAGCGGUAGGGGGAGCUCAUCUGCCCGCUGUGUGUAGUCAGGUGAGCCUGAAGCGGUAAAGUCGGCGAGCGGGACCCCAGAUAGCGGUGAGCGUGGGGAGGUGUUUGUUGGCCCCUUUCUAGGCGGCCAGGUGGGCCCUUCCUGUUCUUCACCGGGAAGGUGAGAGAACAAGUGACCUGCACACCCUGACCGUGUUUGUGCGAUUUGAACUGCUGUGGUGCUUGUGUCCAGGUGCUUUCUUUUCUCGGCGUUACAGGUCACGUGCCGGGCAAGAAAACACAGCCGCUGCAAAAACAAAUGCGGCUGGUAGAACAGUCUUGCGCCCACCUGGUGCACGGGUCACUUAGUGAUGGCCUUAAGCAAUCCUUCCGCUUGCCAUAUGCACACGCCGGGAGUCACCUGAGCUUUCGGCACAAAGGCUGGGGCAGAUGUAACCACCACUUUCUGCUGCUGAGGAGCUCCUCCAACCAAUGCUGUCUUUCCUGGGUGUGCCUGCUGAAUUUCUGCAUUCACGCAGUUCAGCAAAAGCUUGUCUGGAAAGAACAGACUGCCCCGUUGACGCCCACGCUUUUAGGAGUACGUACACGUAUCUAAUGUUGUUAUUAUCUUGAUACACGUGUGUCUGUUUGCUAGCGUUGUCGUGGUUUAGCCCCGCAGACUGAUAAACAGCCCUGUCUCACCGGCCCCAGGUCGGGAGCGGGGACAAAGGCGGGAAGGCAACGGUGCGAGAACUCAGGGGGCUGAGAGCAAGACACCGUACUAGGGAAAGCAAAAACCAGGCCCGCACAACCAGGAAAACGGGGGACACAUUCCCUGCAUGCCAUCGGCAGGCCGAUAUUCAGCCACAUCCAGGAACAGCGCGCUCACUGCACGUAACCAUCUCUUGGGAAGGCAAGAGCAUCCAUCCCACCAUGACCCAUUCCUCCUGCUUGACACACGCUUUCAUUGCCGAGCGUGACAUCCCGGCCCGUUUGGGCCGGCUGUGUGGCUCCGUCUCCUGGCUGUGGCUGCUCCCAGCUUCUGCUCUGUCCCCUGCCUCCUCGCUGGAUGAACAGCACAAGAAGCAGAAAAGUCCUUGGCUCUGUGCAAGCACUGCUCUGCAGCAGCCAAAAGCACGCGUGUGUUAGCACCUCUGUUUUCACGAAAAGAAUCCAAUAACCAGCACCCGUGAGACUCUGCCAGGCCACGGCACUCAAUCCCAGGCCAAAUCACAACAACUAAAGUACUGCAGUCAGAGAGCAGUGCAGUCUCGGGAGCACCUACUUGUAAGGAAAUGAAAUAGAUUUACUAGCAUG